CGUGCCAGCAGCCGCGGUAAUACGUAGGAGGCGAACGUUAUUCGGAUUUACUGGGCGUAAAGCAGGUGUAGGCGGUUCUUUAAGUCAGGUGUGAAAUUUUCUGACUUAAUCAGAAAGGGUCAUCUGAUACUAGAGAACUUGAGGGCGGCAGAAGGAAAUGGAAUUCUCGGUGUAGCGGUGAAAUGCGUAGAUAUCGAGAAGAACACCAGUGGCGAAGGCGAUUUCCUAGGCUGUUCCUGACGCUGAGACCCGAAAGCGUGGGGAGCGAUGCGGAUUAGAUACCCGCGUAGUCCACGCCCUAAACGGUGGACACUAGUAUGGAAGGUAUCGACCCCUCUCGUGUCGAAGCUAACGCUUUAAGUGUCCCGCCUGGGGAGUACGGCCGCAAGGCUAAAACUCAAAGGAAUUGACGGGGGCCCGCACAAGCAGCGGAGCGUGUGGUUUAAUUCGAUGCUACACGAAGAACCUUACCAGGACUUGACAUGCUAGUAGUAGGAAUCCGAAAGGAGGACGACCUGUAUCCAGUCAGGAAUUAGCACAGGUGCUGCAUGGCUGUCGUCAGCUCGCGCCGUGAGGUGUUGGGUUAAGUCCCGCAACGAGCGCAACCCUUGUCCUGUGUUAGAUUCUCACAGGAGACUGCCUUGUACAGCAAGGAGGAAGGAGAGGAUGACGUCAAGUCAGCACGGCCUUUAUGUUCUGGGCUACACACACGCUACAAUGGACGCUACAGAUGGUUGCCAAGGAGUGAUCCGGAGCUAAUCUAAAAAAAGCGUCCUCAGUUCGGAUUGCAGGCUGAAAUCGCCUGCAUGAAGCUGGAGUUGCUAGUAACCGCAGGUCAGCUAUACUGCGGUGAGUACGUUCUCGGGCCUUGUACACACCGCCCGUCAAUCCAAAUUU
rnacentral:rRNA from 1 species